UUGCUGAGAAUGAUGGUUUCCAGCUUCAUCUAUGUCCCUGCAAAGGACAUGAACUCAUCCUUUUUUAUGGCUGCUUAGUAUUCCAUGGUGUAUAUGUGUCAUAUUUUCUUUAUCAAGUCUGUCUUUUAAUGGGUAUUUGGGUAGCCUGUUUGGAUACAGACAGGUUUUAGUUGUUUUAUCUCUUUGCCCACUUAGUACCUUUAGUUUCUUGCAUCUGUUAGAUAACAGUUCCUUUCAGAUACAUGAUUUUCCAUAAUUUUAUCCCAAUCUGUAAUAUACCUUUUCUUUGGGUUCAUUGUUUUCUCCUUGAGAAAUUUUAAAGUUGUCCUUCGUCUAACAUGUUUACAUUUGCUUUUGUUAGCAGUGAUUUCUGUGUCCCAUUGGGAGAUAAAAGGAGAGAGAUGGCAAAGGCAUUGUAUUAUUUAUGAGUAUAAUCUCAAUAAGUUUUUCUUUUGGCAAAUGGUGUAAGCAGAUUCAAAUUUCCUCAAAAUAGUCACCCUAUGUUUUUUCUCGGGAGCUUUUCUGGUUUCAGGAUUAGACUUAGGUGUUCAUUUUCUGUUGCUGUUUGUGUCUUGUGCAACAUAGGGGUCUUUUUCAGUCCCUUGCACAUGAAUACCCAGGUUUCUGAACUUGGGGCCUUUGGUGUGUUUCUGAAAAAUGUGUUUAUGCUAUAUAUUUUGGUCUGAUUAUUUGGCUCCCUCAUUUGGUCCAUUUGGUUAUCUUUCUGUGCCUAUGCCACUAAUGGAUGGAGAGGGUUGGUGUAAGUUUUGUUUUGUUUUCUUGUGUGUGUUUUUCUUUUCUUUUUUUUUUUAGUUUUCAAUCUUGAUUUUCUAAAAGAAUACCUACUUUUACUGUUAUUAACAAUGUUAUGAACACAGUGCCAGUCGGGUGGUUUAUCAGUGUAGAAUCUCUAAUUCAAUAGGGGUAAAUGUUAAUUAAAUUAUAGAAAUAACAGAGACAUUUAUCAACAGAGGGCUUUCAUCCACACAUGAGCUCUUCAUAUGUUGAUACAAUGCCUUCUAAUAUUUAUAACUUUUACUUUUAUAUCCAUAUGUCAUAUUUGUCUGUAGUAUUCAGUGUGUCUCAAUCCAGUGAAUGAUGUUAUCACAGAAGAGACCAACCACAUGUGGACAUGGAGUGGGUCAUUACAAGGUAGGGUAGUUAACCUGAACCCUAAGCUGGCACAGAGAGGAGAAGCCACAGUCCUUUAGAGAGGAAAAAAUUACAGUGUAUAAAUAUCUUUUGUUAAGAGAAACAGAGACCAUCUACAGAGGAUAUAAUAAUAUUAAAAUGUGGUCUCAUUGUUCAGCUCCCACUUAUGAGUGAGAACAUGUAAUGUUUGGUUUUCUAUUUCUGUGUUAGUUUGCUGAGGAUGAUGACUUUCAGCUUCAUCCAUGUCCCUGCAGAGGAUGUGAUCUCAUACCCUUUUAUGGCAGCAUAGUAUUCCAUGGUGUAUAUGUAGCACAUUUUCUUUAUCCAGCCUACCACUUAUGAGCAUAUGAGUUGGUUACAUGUCUUUCCUAUUGUGAAUUGUGCUGCAAAAAACAUACAUGGAGCAGAUUGUGCUCAGAGCAAGAUGGAGCUCCAAGCAUGAUGGAGCUCAGAGCAGACUGAGCCCCAGGUGAGAUGUUGCUCCAAGCAAUAUGAAUCUUGGAGCAGAUGUUGCACAGAGUAAAAGAUGGAGCUCCAAGCGUAUAGUCUCAGAGCAAAAUGGAGCUCAGAGCAGACGGUGCUCAGAGCAAGAUGGAGUUUGGAGUGAUUGGAGUUCUGAGCAAGAUGGAGCUCUGAGCAAGAUAGAUCUCAGAGCAGCCGGAGCACUGAGCAGAUUAAGCUCAGACAAGAAGGAGCUCCAAGCAAGAUGGAGCUUGGAGCUGAUGUUCCUCUGUAUAAGACAGAGCUCAGAGCUACAUGGAGCUUGUAGUGAUAGGCGCUCAGAGCAGAUGGUGCUCAGAGAAAGAUGGAGCUCAGAGUGAUUGGACCUGUGAGCAAGGUGGAGCUCAGAAAAUAAGGAGCUCCAACCAAAGUGGAGCUUGGAGCUGACGUUCCUCUGUGAAAGAUGGAGCUAAGAGGUAGAUGAAGCUUGGAGUGAUAGGAGCUCAAAGCAGAUGGUGCUCACAGCAAGAUGGAGCUCUGAGCAAGAUGGAGCUUGGAGAAGAUGGAGGUCUGAGCAAGAUAGAGCUCUGAGCAGAUGGAGCUCUGAGCAAGAUAGAGCUCUGAGCAGAUGGAGCUCAGAAAAAAGGGAGCUCUAAGCAAGAUGGAGCUUGGAGCUGAUGUUUUUCUGUGUAAGAUGGAGCUCAGAGCCAGAUGGAUAUUGCAGUGAUAGGAGCUCAGAGCAGAUGGUUCUCAGAGCAAGAUGGAGCUUGGAGUGAUAGGAGCUCAGAGCAGAUGGUGCUCAGAGCAAGAUGGAGCUUGGAGUGAUUAGAGCUCCAAGCAAGAUGGAACUUGGAGCAGAUGGAUCUCUGAGCAAGAUGGAGCUCAGACUGAUUGGACCUCUGAGCAUGGUGGAGCUCAGAGCAGAUCGUUCUCAGAGCAAGAUGGAGCUUGGAGUGAUAGGAGCUCAGAGCAGAUGGUGCUCAGAGCAGGAUGGAGCAUGGAGUGUGAUUGGAGCUCUGAACAAGAUGGAGCUUGGAGCAGAUGGAGCUCUAAGCAAGACAGACCUCAGAGCAGGCAGAGCUCUAAGCAGAUGAAGCUCUGAGCAGAUUAAGCUCAGGAAAGAAGGAGCUCCAAGCAAGAUGGAGCUUUGAGCUGAUGUUCCUCUGUGUAAGAGGGAGCUAAGAGCUAGAUGGAGCUUGGCAUGAAAGGAGCUCAGAGCAGAUGGUGCUCAGAGCAAGAUGGAGCUUGGCGUGAUAGGAGCUCAGAGCAGAUGGUGCUCAGAGCAAGAUGGAGCUCUGAGCAACAUAGAACUCAGAGCAGAUGAAGCUCUGAGCAGAUGAAGCUCAGAUAAGAAGGAGCUCCAAGCAAGAUGGAGCUUUGAGCUGAUGUUCCUCUGUGUAAGAGGGAGCUAAGAGCUAGAUGGAGAGAUGGAGCUUGACAUGAAAGGAGCUCAGAGCAGAUGGUGCUCAGAGCAUGAUGGAGCUCAGACUGAUUGAACCUCUGAGCAUGGUGGAGCUCAGAGCAGAUGGUUCUCAGAGCAAGAUGGAGCCUGGAGUGGUUGGAGCUCAGAGCAGAUGGUGCUCAGAGCAAGAUGGAGCUCUGAGCAAGAUAGACCUCAGAGCAGAUGGAGCUCUAAGCAGAUGAAGCUCUGAGCAGAUUAAGCUCAGAAAAGAAGGAGCUCCAAGCAAGAUGGAGCUUUGAGCUGAUGUUCUUCUGUGUAAGAGGGAGCUCAGAGCUAGAUGGAGCUUGGCGUGAAAGGAGCUCAGAGCAAUUGGGAGCUCAGAGUGAUUGGAGCACUGAGCAAGUUGGAGCUUGGAGCAGAUGGAGCUCUGAGCAAGAUAGAGCUCAGAGCAGAUGGAGCUCUGAACAGAUUAAGCACAGAAAAGAAGGAGCUCCAAACAAGAUUGAAGUUGGAGCUUAUGUUCCUCUGUACAAGAUAGAGCACCGAGCAAGAUAGAGCUCUGUACAAGAUGGUGCUUAGAGCAAAUGGAGCUCUGAAUGAUAAAGAAUUGUAAACAAGAUGGAGCUUGGUGCAGAUGUUGCUUGGUUUGAAGUGGAGCUCAGAGCAGAUGGUGCUAACAGCAGGAUGGAGCUCAGAGCGAUUAGAGCUCCAAGCAAGAUGGACCUUGGAGAUGAUGGUGCUUUGAGCAACAUGGAACUCGGAGGAAAUGUUGUUUAGAGUAAGGAGGAGUUCUUAGCAAAUUGUACUCAGAGCAAGAUGGAGCUUGGAUAAGAUGUCGUUCACAGUGCGAUGGAGCUCUGAGCAAAUGGUACUUAGAGCAAGAUGGAACUCCAAGUAGAUGGUGCUCAGAACAAAAUGGAGCUCGAAGUGGUUGGAGCUCUUAGCAAGGUGGAGCUCUAAGCAGAUGGUGCUCAGAGCAAGGUGGGGCUCAAAGAAGAUGUUGUUUACAGUGAGAUGUAGCUCCAAGUAGAUGAUGCUUAGUGCAAGAUGGAACUCUAGAGUAAUUGGAGCUCUGAGCAAGAUCGAGCAUGGAGCAAGUGGAACUCUGAGUAGAUGGGAUUAGAGCAGAUGGUGCUCAGAGCAAGAUGGAGCUCUGAGCAAAUUGUGCCCAGAACAAGAUGGAGAUCAGAGUAGAUGGAGCUCUAAGCAAGAUGAAGCUCAGAGUAGAUGGUGCUCAGAGCAAGAUGGAGCUCUGAGGAUAUAGUACUCACAGCAAGAUGGAGCUUAGAGAGAUUGGAGCUCAGAACAGAUGGAGCUCACAGAAAUUGCUCCCAACAAGAUGGACCUCCAAGUAGAUGGUAAUUAGAGCAAUCUGGAGCUCCAAGCAGAUGGUGCUCAGAGCAAGAUGAACCUCAGAAUGAUUAGAACUCUGAGAAAAAUAAAACAAUGUGCAGAUGGUGCUUAAAGCAAGAUAGAGCUCAGAGUGAUUGGAGCUCUGAGCAAGAUGGAACUAGGAGGAGAUAGAGCUUUGAGCAAGAAGUACCUCCAAGUAAGAUGGAGUUUCCAGAAGUUCUUGCCUGGUGUACGAUGGCGCUCAGAGCAAGAUGGAGCUUGGAGUGAUUGGAACUGUGAACAUUUCUCUGAGCAAGAUGGAUCUCUGAGCAAGAAGGAGCUCUAAGCAAGAUGGAGCUUGGGACAGACAUUGCUCGGUUUUAGAUGGAACUCAGAGUGAUGAGAGCUCCAAGCAAGAUGGAGCUCAGAGAAGAUGGAGCUCAGAGCAGAUAGAGCUCUGAACAAAACGAGCUCCAAGCAAAAUGGAACUUGGAGCAGAUGUUGCUUGGUGUAAGAUGGAGCUCAGAGCAGAUGGUGCUCAGAGCAAGAUGGAGUUUGGAGUGCUUGGAGCUCUCAGAAAAAUAGGGCUUGAAGCAAAUGGAACUCCAAGUAGAUGAAACUCUGAGCAGAUGGUGCGCAGUGCAAAAUGGAGCUCAGAGUGAUAAGAGCUCUAAGCAAGAUGAGCUCAGAGCAGAUGGAGCUUCAAGCAGAUGGUGCUCAGAGCAAGAUGGAACUUGGAGUGAUUGGAGCUUCGAACCAGAUGGAGCUUGGAUCAGAUAGACCCCUGAGCAACAAGGAGCUCCAAACAAGCUGGAGCUUGGAGCAGAUGUUGCUGGUGUAAGAUGGACCACAGAGCAGAUAGUACUUAGAGUAAGAGGCAGCUCAGAGUGAUUGGCACUCCUGAACCUUGAUCUGAACAAUUGGAGCUCUGAGCCAGAUGCAGCUUGGAGUAGAUAGAGCUCUGAGCAAAAUGAGCUCUAAGCAAGAUGGAGUUUGGAGGAGAUGUUGCUAGGUUUUGGAGCUCAUAGCAAAUGGAGCCCACAAUGAUUAUAGCUCCAAGCAAGGUGGAGCUCAGAGCACAUGUUGCUCAGAGUAAGAUGAACUUGACCAGAUGGUGCUCAGAGCAAAAAGGAGCUGGAAGUGAUUGGAGCUCCCAGCAAGAUGGAACACAGAGUGAUUAGAACUUCCAGCAAGAUGGAGCUCAGAGUAAAUGGAUCUGAUUAGAUGAAGCUCUGAGUAAGAUAAAUGUCUAUGCAGAUGGUGUUCAGAGAAAGUGCUUAGAGUGAUUGGAGCUGUGCGCAAGAUGGAGCUUGGAAUAAAGAGAGCUUGAAGCCAGAAAGACCUCCGAGCAAGAUGGAGCUUGCAGCAGAUGUUGCUCUGUGUAAGGUGGAGCCCAGAAAAGAUGAUGCUCACAGCAAGAUUGAGCUCAGAGUGAUUGGAACUCCAAACAUUGCUCUGAGCCAUUGGCGUUUGGAGUAGAUUGUGAUCAGAGCAAGACAGUGUUCAGAGUGAUUGGAGCUCCAAGCAAGCUGAAGCUUGGAGAAGAUGGAGCUCAGAAAAGAUGAUGUUUACAGUAAGAUGGAGCUCCGAGCAGAUGAUGCUAAGAGCAAAAUGGAGCUCAGAGUGAUUGGAGCUCCAAGCAAGCUGGAGCUCAGAGCAGAUGGACUUGGAAAAGAGACACAUCAUUUGUGGUAUAUUUCAUUCACUCAUGGUGACUUUUUAAACAACACAUUAUUUAGACAUCAUUUGGGAAAAAAAUUAACACUCAGCAUUUAUAUUUUGCAAUCCUACAGAAGGAAUUUCUAGCAGAUUUUAGUACCAAACUUCCAGUGAAGAAACAGACCAGAUAUUUAUUGGCCACAUAUAUUGUGAUGCCAGUCCUACGAUCACCUUGCAAUGGAAAGUUUAAUGACAGUUUAGAUCUCAACACAAUACAUAAUCAAAAAGAAGACAAAUAUUAGAAUAGAGAACUACUUGUCAAAGGUUAGUUACAGUAUCUCUUUAGUUUUCAGAUUUCUAACAUAAUUCUUGUAUUUUUCUGUUAACAGAUCACAGCAGGUCCAAGAACACAUUAGAGAUCUUAUAGACCAGGCCUCUCACCUUUGGUAAAGGGAUAAUGAGUUGGCUCAGCCUGGGUGUCACCUGGUCUUCAUUCUCAUAGUUAUUCCCUUUCCUGGAACCCCUGGCCUCUGUCUUCCUUCUCCUUUUUGAGCCUUGCUCUCUGAAUCUUCUCAGUUUAUUUCCUUCCACCUGAAAACCAUCAGACUUCAAAUGGUCUUGUGAUGGGGAUAUCAACCUCUUUUUUUCCCUCCAGGACAACCAAGUCCCUGUAUGUCUCCUCUGGACAGCACGGAUGAAAUCUUCUAAGAGACAAUCGUCAAAACCUGCCCACUAUGACAGCAAGCAAGGAGGAAGGCCCUGAAGACCCUUAAUGCCCCCUUUUCAGCAGGAAUUAGCUACAGAGAAUGACUUCUGCCCCAUCUCCCAAAAGAUUUUUGGGUCCCAACCACUUGACGAAGAAAUGUAAGACAGAUAGCAGGCAUAAGGGGGAGGUAUCCAUGUUGGAAAGAACUCCCGGAACACCUCUUUGGAUGCUCAGUACUCAUUCCAUCUUCAAACUGUCAGAAUGUUGUUAACUAGAUCAUGAUAAGGAAAAAAGGCAAAGGGGAAUUCCUGAGAGCUGAGCAGGCACAAUGAGUACAAAAUUGACUGUUAUACCUUCCCGGGGUGGUGAUAAUAUGCAGUGCCACCAUUAGGUAGGAUUCAUAUUGAUGUUUCCCAAGCAUGUGCAUUAAGCACAAUAAGUAAGGGAGGAUCCCCCAAACUUUGGUGAGAACCGGCUAAAGAAAGAACUGAGGCAAUAGAAGAUCACCAUGCAGAAUGUCAUGGGGAUGUUUCCAGCAGGGUCAGCCCAUCCUCUCUUGGAGUGUAUUUGUACUUUCAAAUUAAACUUGUUUUAAUUUACAAAUUGGUCUUUUGUGUAAAUUCUUUCUUCCACGAAGACAACCAAGGAUAGCCUGGGUAACAUCUUCAUGUGAUUUCACUCAUAGUAAUAUGAGUCUAUUUCUGGGGAACUUAAAGUGAAUCCAAUAAUGACAAGGAGUAUCAAUUACAGAGUUGGUAAAGAAAAAAUAGUUAAACUGUGCUUGACUUAUUAACAAACU